GAUGAACGCUGGCGGCGUGCUUAACACAUGCAAGUCGAACGGAAAGGCCAGUGCUUGCUCUGGUACUCGAGUGGCGAACGGGUGAGUAACACGUGGGUGAUCUGCCCUGCACUUCGGGAUAAGCCUGGGAAACUGGGUCUAAUACCGGAUAGGACACUGGUUUGGAUGCCGAUGUGGAAAGCUUUUUCGUUGUGGGAUGAGCUCGCGGCCUAUCAGCUUGUUGGUGGGGUAAUGGCCUACCAAGGCGUCGACGGGGAGCCGGCCUGAGAGAGUGUACGGCCACAUUGGGACUGAGAUGCGGCCCAGACUCGUACAGGAGGCAGCAGGGGGGAAUAUUGCACAAUGGGAGCAAGCGUGAGGCAGGGAGGCCGCGGGGGGGAUGACGGCUUUUGGGGUGUAAACACCUCACGCGGGGGACGAAGCGUAUUUGUGACGGUACCUGGAGAAGAAGCACCGGCUAACUACGUG
rnacentral:rRNA from 1 species